ACUUGCUCUGGGGAAAGCCAGCUGCCAUCAGGUGGGGACACUAGAGGAGCCCCAGGGAGCUCCCAUAUGGCAAGGAACUGAGACCUGCUGCCAACACCCAGGACCAAUUUGCCAUCCAUGAGAGUGGGCCGUCUCGAAAGUGGGAGAAUGUGGUCAGUGUUUCAGCCAGUGCUUGCUGCUGAGGCAGGAGAGAAUAAUUGUGUAAAGAGGGGGCUCCCGCAGUGCAGGACAGGAAGCCACCAUGUGAGCACCACAUCCACGUGCAGGUCGCAGGCUUCAUCAUGUCCUGAAUACCAUGCCUUAGCAUUUUAUAUUUCAGGUUUCUACUUCUACAUCUCCAGCCCUGAAUACUCAUGGAAUAUCGCUGUACCUAUGACAGGUUGCAUGAUUUUUCCCCCUCUGUGCACUCAAUUUGUGUAUUAUUGUAUCAUAUGACAUUCUGAAUCAAGUGCUGCUAGUACCAAGCUGCUAUCAUCAGCUGAUGCCAAAAAUAUUCGUUAUAACACUUCUCAGCAUGCAAGUGAGAGCACUUCAAAUCACACAGACAGAAUUUCCAGCCAUUGUUCUUUUCUUCUUUGCUUAUUAUACAGCAACAAGAAUCAAAACAAAAGGGGAUUUAUUAGAAAAUAAUGCUUCAGUAAAAUGUUAUAAAACAUGAGGUUUAUUGUUUGUGAAGAUAGAGUGAAAUUCAGUACCACAUUAUAGAUACCACCUCAGAGGCCUAUUUUCCCCUUCUUUUCUCUUUUCUCAAAUGUUUUUCAAGUGGCAUCUUUUUUUCAGUCUUUGAUUACAUUAAGGUGCAAACUAUUUAUCCAUCUGGAAAUAAGCAAUACUGUCAACAGAGAACCAGGAAAUGAAAAGUGCAGCCGGCCAUAUGCCUUCUCUACGGCCUCUUUAUGUUACUGUGCUGAUCAGGACAAAUGCAGUACCUAUGGUAGCAAUAGGGAGAGUGAAAAUAUGUAUUCUCCAAGGGAAGACAAUUAAAAGACAAAUUCCAUCAGGAAGAUUUGUCAUUUUUUGAGAGUGCUGAUCCUGCAUCUAUCAGCAAAUUUCACAUAAAUUAAUUCAUUUUACAGAGUGAAUGCUGAAACUUGGAAGCCAACUGACAAGAUGCCAGGGAUGGCAUGGCAAGGAAGAGAGAGCCUUCAUGGCAAUUUUGAAUACCUGAUCUCUUGCUUUCAUCAUCUUGUCUAGGGGAAGAAACACGGAGCCUGGUAGUUGGGAGGUGAGAGGCAGGAAUGGAUACCAGAGAUGGACAGACAGUGGGGUGGUGAGAAGGGAGCUGCAAUUUGCUAAUCCUUGUAGUACUACCUGUCAAUCAUCUUGCUUUCCUUAAUCAUCGAUCCUGGAGAGACUUUGAGGAAAGGGCUGGUGGAGUUGCGCAGAUGUGAUCUUCAUUUCAGCCUUAUGAAUACAUACCAAGGUCUCUUUAAAUCUGUGGUUCCUGCACAAAGUGCUGUGACUUCAGGCUAAUAGAGAGGUCCAGAUGUCACAUGUGCCAAUUAGAAAGAAAUGAGGACCAUGGCUAUGGCCCACUGUGUUCAGAAGACACGCCCAAGCCACCCAUUGUCAUUCAUUGUGUCUAAUACUUGACCUGUCCUGCUGUUUAUUAUGUGGGGUGGCUCCAUAUUUUAAAAACUGUAUUCAUAAAAAGAUAUUUCUCAUCCUGCUGAGUCUCAGGCCCAUUGUUGUAGGUGAGGUGGUUUCUUUUGUUUGAUAUAUAACGUUUUGCUGACUUUCGACUUGGGAAUUGCAAAGGCUUACCCAAAACCCUGAAGGAAAAGCUAAGAAUUCAUACUUAUUAAGCACUUGGUAGGUGUCUGACACUGUAGUAGAUAUAUGCGAGAGCCCAGAACAAGCUGAUGUCCAUGUACAUAUCUUUAAAAAAUAUAAUGAUCUAGUCUUAUCUGUGGAAACUGCUUCAGAUACUGAUCUUAC
rnacentral:lncRNA from 1 species